GAUGAACGCUGGCGGCGUGCCUAAUACAUGCAAGUCGAGCGAACAGAUGAGGAGCUUGCUCCUCUGACGUUAGCGGCGGACGGGUGAGUAACACGUGGAUAACCUACCUAUAAGACUGGGAUAACUUCGGGAAACCGGAGCUAAUACCGGAUAAUAUAUUUAACCGCAUGGUUCAAUAGUGAAAGACGGUUUUGCCGUCACUUAUAGAUGGAUCCGCGCCGCAUUAGCUAGUUGGUAAGGUAACGGCUUACCAAGGCAACGAUGCGUAGCCGACCUGAGAGGGUGAUCGGCCACACUGGAACUGAGACACGGUCCAGACUCCUACGGGAGGCAGCAGUAGGGAAUCUUCCGCAAUGGGCGAAAGCCUGACGGAGCAACGCCGCGUGAGUGAUGAAGGUCUUCGGAUCGUAAAACUCUGUUAUUAGGGAAGAACAAAUGUGUAAGUAACUAUGCACGUCUUGACGGUACCUAAUCAGAAAGCCACGGCUAACUACGUG
rnacentral:rRNA from 1 species